rnacentral:rRNA from 1 species
GACGAACGCUGGCGGCGUGCUUAACACAUGCAAGUCGAACGGAAAGGCCCUGCUUGCAGGGUGCUCGAGUGGCGAACGGGUGAGUAACACGUGGGUGAUCUGCCCCUUACUUUGGGAUAAGCCUGGGAAACUGGGUCUAAUACUGGAUAGGACCAUGCUGUAGGUGGUGUGGUGGAAAGAUUAGUUUCGGUAAGGGAUGAGCUCGCGGCCUAUCAGCUUGUUGGUGGGGUAAUGGCCUACCAAGGCGUCGACGGGUAGCCGGCCUGAGAGGGUGGACGGCCACGUUGGGACUGAGAUACGGCCCAGACUCCUGCGAGAGGCAGCAGAGGGGAAUAGUGCACAAUAGGCGCAAGCCUGAUGCAGCGACGCCGCGUGGGGGAUGACGGCCUUCGGGUUGGAAACACCUUUCUGCCAUGACGAAGCCCUUGUGGUGACGGUAGUGGAAGAAGAAGCACCGGCUAACUACGUG